UACGGGGGGUGCGAGCGUUGUCCGGAAUCACUGGGCGUAAAGGGCGCGUAGGUGGUUUGAUAAGGGUGUGGUGAAAGCCCGGGGCUCAACCCCGGGUCUGCCGUGCCGACUGUCAAACUCGAGGGCUGUAGAGGCAGACGGAAUUCCAGGUGUAGCGGUGAAAUGCGUAGAUAUCUGGAGGAACACCGGUGGCGAAGGCGGCAUCCUGGACCAACACUGACGCUGAGGAGCGAAAGCCAGGGGAGCAAACGGG
rnacentral:rRNA from 1 species